rnacentral:sRNA from 1 species
CCUGGUACAAAGUGGAUACCAUUCUCCUACACAUACAGGCGGCCCCUUCGAACUCACUAUGGAUACAUAAAUGUGAAGACACAAGAGCCUUUGCAACUGGACUGCGACCUUUGUGCCAUAGUGUCAAACUCAGGUCAGAUGGUUGGCCAGAAGGUGGGAAAUGAGAUAGAUCGAUCCUCCUGCAUUUGGAGAAUGAACAAUGCCCCCACCAAGGGUUAUGAAGAAGAUGUCGGCCGCAUGACCAUGAUUCGAGUUGUGUCCCAUACCAGCGUUCCUCUUUUGCUAAAAAACCCUGAUUAUUUUUUCAAGGAAGCGAAUACUACUAUUUAUGUUAUUUGGGGCCCUUUCCGCAAUAUGAGGAAAGAUGGCAAUGGCAUCGUUUACAACAUGUUGAAAAAGACAGUUGGUAUCUAUCCGGAUGCCCAAAUAUACGUGACCACAGAGAAGCGCAUGAGUUACUGUGAUGGAGUUUUUAAGAAGGAAACUGGGAAAGACAGUACAGAGUGACCAUGCAGUGUUGACUGAUCGAACAGCAACCACCACAUACAUGUCCUGCCCCACCACAAAAGGAAGGAAGGAAUAAAAGAAAGAAAGAAAGAAACAAACAAACAAACAAAACUAAGCAAGACAAAACAAAUACCCAUGUCAGUGGUUCAAAGAUUAAGAUUGUGGCUUUAUGUAAAGUUCUUUCCCUUUGUAGACUUGCUGCAUAAUUAUUCAGGUAUGAUGGUUACAGUUUUUAAAAAGGAAGGGAAAUUGUGGUAUGUGGUAUGUAAAUAUUUUUAAAUGUUGUCUCUCUGUUUUGAUCAGUUUUUGUUUUAUUCAAUUUGUCUUUAUUAAAUCUUAUCAAAGCAAAA